rnacentral:rRNA from 1 species
CCCUUAGAUGUUCUGGGCUGCACGCGCGCUACACUGAUGCGUUCAACGAGUUUAUGACCUUGCCCGAUAGGGUUGGGUAAUCUUUUUAAAUCGCAUCGUGAUGGGGAUAGAUUAUUGCAAUUAUUAAUCUUCAACGAGGAAUUCCUAGUAAGCGCGAGUCAUCAGCUCGUGCUGAUUACGUCCCUGCCCUUUGUACACACCGCCCGUCGCUCCUACCGAUUGAGUGGUCCGGUGAAUAAUUCGGACUGCAGCAGUGUUCAGUUCCUGAACGUUGCAGCGGAAAGUUUAGUGAACCUUAUCACUUAGAGGAAGGAGAANUCGUANCA